rnacentral:lncRNA from 1 species
ACCCAAUCUAAUUGGGUUCAAACCAACUCACCAUUAUGUCUUCAUCCAACGGUAGAUGAAGAUCUAACGGUCAAAAGUAACUGAUUUAUCAAAUAUAAUCCAAUUAGACUCAAAUCAAGCCAAUUAGGUGCCAACUCUUGGCUAACCCAUAUUAGGAUAUGAUCUAAUCAAAUUAGAUCAAUUAAGAAUCAGAUUCGAAUCCAAUUCAAAUCAGGAGCUAAGGUUUGCAACACCUGCUAGAAUGUUUAUCUUGCAAACAUGAUCUAAUCCAAUUAGACUCUUGAUCAGUUUUCUUGUGUGUGACCCAUUGGGUUCCAAACUUAGCCAGCAGUAGGUGUAGGUUCGAGUUGACCUAACCUGAUUAAAAUUCUUCUAAUCGAUUUAGGUCCAAACUGCGCGAACUCGAACUUAACAAUUAGAAUCCUUUCUAAUUGGCGAUCGAAUUAAACUCUUUAAUUCGAUCAAACCUACAAGACAAGAUUGACAUCUAGCAACGUGUCAUGACUACCCCAAAAAUAUGGAAUUUGGUUGAAAUACCAAAAAUACCCUUCAGUGGCAAGUUACCGUGUAAUUCAAUCCUUCAAUCAAACUACAUCCCGAAUAUGUAUAUGAGCAUGAAUCUAUGUCAAACUCAAUUACAUAUUCAUGUUUCUCUUAAUCUUCUAAUGAUAAUUCGAAUCAUGAAACAUUAGAAACUCUCUAAUUUUCAUUCUGCUUUGAUCAAAGACUUUCUGAAUUAUCAUAUGAUGAGAAUAAAUGGGAUGCGAUCUUCUCUUACUAGAAGUGAUUGAUUUCUUGUUAUGAUGAGACCUUGGUUCCUUCGCUUGAGCAACAGCUUCAGUGUUAUCACAAUAAACUGGGACUGGUCCAGCAAUCUCAGAAACUACUUCCAACUCAGAGAUGAACUUUUUCAUCCAGACAGCUUCUUUAGCGGUUUCACUCACAGCAAUGUAUUCUACCUCAGUAGUUGAGUCAGCUACAGUUUGCUGCUUGGAACUCUUCCAGCUCACUACACCAUCAUUUAAGGUAAAGACAUACCCUGAAGUAGACUUGCUAUCAUCUAGGUCUGACUGAAAACUAGAAUCAGAAAAUCUUUCUAGUUUCAACUCAGAACCUCCAUAAAUUAGAAAAACAUCUUUAGUCCUUCUCAAGUACUUAAGAAUAUUUUUCACAGCUAUCCAAUGAUCCUCCCCUGGAUCAGCCUGGAAUCUACUUGUUAUGCCUAAGGCAUAAGCAAUAUCAGGCCUAGUACAUAGCAUAGCAUACAUAAUCGAUCCUACUGCCGAAGCAUAGGGAAUAGAAUGAAUUCUAUUCCUCUCUUCAGAUGUCUUAGGAGACAUCUUCUUAGAGAGACGUAUGCCAUGGCUCAUAGGUAAGUAACCUCUUUUACUUCCUUCCAUGCUGAAUCUUUUCAGCACAUGAUCUAUGUACCUAGAUUGGGACAAGCCUAGCAUCCUUUUAGAUCUAUCCCUAUAGAUCUUUAUACCAAGUAUAUAGGAUGCUUCUCCCAAGUCAUUCAUGGAAAAGCUUUUUGAUAGCCAAAUCUUGACCAAUUGUAACAUUGGAAUAUCAUUUCCAAUGAUUAGUAUGCUAUCUACAUACAAUAUUAAGAAGACAAUGGCACUCCCACUAGUCUUCUUGUACACACAUGGUUCAUCCACAUUUUUGAUAAAACCAAACUCUUUGACUGUUGUAUCAAAACGGAUGUUCCAACUCCUCGAUGCCUGCUUUAAUCCAUAAAUGGAUCUCUUAAGCUUGCAUAUUUGAUUUGCUCUCCCAUUUGAGACAAAUCCUUCUGGUUGUGUCAUGUAAACCUCUUCCUCAAAAUGACCAUUAAGGAAGGCGGUUUUGACAUCCAUUUGCCAAAUUUCAUAAUCAUAGCAUGCAGCUAUUGUAAGCAAAAUCCGAAUAGAUUUGAGCGUAGCAACUAGUGAAAAAGUUUCAUCAUAGUCAAUUCCUUGCUUUUGCCUGAAACCUUUUGCCACUAAUCUAGCCUUGUAGGUUUCUACUUGGCCAUCUGCUCCAAUUUUUUUCUUAUAGACCCAUUUGCAACCUAUAGGAUUUACACCCUUUGGUGCAUCAACUAAAAUCCAUACUUGGUUGGUAUACAUAGAGUCUAUUUCGGAUUUCAUGGCUUCUAGCCAUUUGUUAGAGUCACUACUCAUGACAGCUUCCGAAUAGGUUAGAGGAUCAUCAUUUUCAACGAUGUGGGCUUCAUCAUUCUCAAUGAUAAAUCCAUACCUCUUAGGUGCAUUUCGCACUCUAUCUGACCUUCGGAGAGGAGAUAUGUGUUGUGGUUGUACCUCAUCAAUGGGCACAUCUGGUUGAGGAAUAUCUUGUGUAUCUAUUUGUAGGUCUUGAAUUUCUUCAAGUUCAAUUAUUCUAUCCUUGCAUUUUUCAAGAAAAAAUUCUUUCUCCAUGAAAGUGGCAUGCCUAUCUACAAAGGCCUUUUGCUCGGUAGGUUGAUAGAAGAUGUAUCCUAUACUAUCUUUAGGAUAACCUACAAAAAUACACUUAUAUGAUCUAGCACUUAGCUUAUGUCCAAAAUUUUUUUAACAUAAGCUUGACAGCCCCAUAUCUUAAGAUACUUAAGAUUUGGCUUCUUUCCUUUCCAUAUCUCAUAUGAAGUGCUAGGUACAGACUUAAAAGGUACCCUGUUUAAUACUAGUGCAGCAGUCUCUAAGGCAAAACCCCAGAAUGAAAUAGGAAGAUCUAUAAAGCACAUCAUGGACCUACCAUAUCUAAUACAGUACGGUUCCUCCGUUCGGCUACACCAUUUAAUUGUGGCGUAUACGGAGGUAUCCAUUCAGAGAGAAUACCCUUUUUCUUAAGAUGAUUUAAAAACUCACUAGAAAGGUAUUCACCUCCUCGAUCUGAUCGAAGGAUUUUAAUACACUUUCCGGUUUGUUUUUCAACCAUACUUUGAUACUCUUUAAACUUAUCAAAAGUUUCGGAUUUAUGUUUCAUAAGAUACACAUAUUCGAACCUUGAUAAAUCAUCAGUGAAUGUAAUGAAGUAAUAGUAUCCACCUCUAGCUGGAGUUGUCAUAGGACCACAUACAUCUGUAUGCACAAGUCCUAACAACUCGCUUGCCCUUUCUCCAUGUCCAGUGAAUGGAGACUUGGUCAUUUUACCCAUAAGACAAGAUUCACAAGUUCCUAAUAAUUCAAAAUCAUAAGGAUUAAAGAACUCUUCUUUGUAUAACUUGUGUAUUCUUGACUCACUAAUAUGACCUAAUCGACAAUGCCAAAGGAGGGUAUUAUUCACCUCUUCUCUCUUUCUUUUAUUAUUUUUAUUAAUAUGAAAUACAUUGUCAUUAAAAGAUAGAACAAGAAGACCAUUUUCCAUAAUGCCAUUGCAAUAGACUUUAUUAGAAAAAGAAAUUGAACAACCAUUCCUUUUUACAUUAAUUUUAAAUCCUUUCUUUAACAAUAAAGAAAUAGAAAUUACAUUUCUAAUAAUCUUAGGCAUAUAAUAACAAUGUUCUAAUUUCAGGAGUUCUCCCAAAGGCAACUCCAAGUAGUAGGUUCCAACAGCUUCAGCCUGGAUAGACUCUCCUCCAGCGCCAUAAAGCUCGAAAUCACCUUUCUUCAAACUUCUAAUUUUCUGUAGUCCAUGCAAUGAUUUGCAAAUAUGAGAACCACAGCCGGUAUCCAAUACCCAUGAAUUUGAAUUUGAAGAACUUAAUGACAAAUUGGCAUGUAACAUAAACAUACCUUUUGAUGCAACUCUUGCAUCGGGCUUUAUAGUUGCAAGAAAGCUUUUACAAUUUCUCUUNNNNNNNNNNNNNNNNNNNNNNNNNNNNNNNNNNNNNNNNNNNNNNNNNNNNNNNNNNNNNNNNNNNNNNNNNNNNNNNNNNNNNNNNNNNNNNNNNNNNNNNNNNNNNNNNNNNNNNNNNNNNNNNNNNNNNNNNNNNNNNNNNNNNNNNNNNNNNNNNNNNNNNNNNNNNNNNNNNNNNNNNNNNNNNNNNNNNNNNNNNNNNNNNNNNNNNNNNNNNNNNNNNNNNNNNNNNNNNNNNNNNNNNNNNNNNNNNNNNNNNNNNNNNNNNNNNNNNNNNNNNNNNNNNNNNNNNNNNNNNNNNNNNNNNNNNNNNNNNNNNNNNNNNNNNNNNNNNAUUAGACUUAAUCUGGUGAUCAAGUCUAUAACCAUAAGAACAUGGUUUUGUCACUGAAGUUCCUUCAUUCAUUCUAGCACGGAACAACUGCUUGGAUAUCUCAUAUCUAGCAGUUCUGCUUUGCUCUCCAUAUAGUUUCUUUAAAUUAAAAAGUAUAAAGAGAGUAUCCAUGCUAUCAUGUUGCCUCUGUAGCUCAUUGCUCAUGGAGGCAAGCAUGAUACAUUUGAUAGUCAAACUGUUAUUCUUCCACAUCUUAUGUGUGGCAACCUCCUCUUCAGUAGCACUAUCCCCUAUAUCUCCAAAAUCAGGGAUUUCAAAUAUAUAGAAAAUUUUCUCCUAAGUACUAUUUUUAGAUUCCUUAACCAGUCCACAUAGUUAGGACCGGUCAAUUUGUUGGCAUCUAAGAUGCCUCUUAGUGAAAGUGAAGAAGCCAUUUAAUAAUUCUACAUAAGCAAGAACAAAACUAACAUAAGCAGACCAAUCAUAGUGACAUGUAUACAAUUAAAUACGGACUUUUAUCUAAUCGUCUCCUAUUUUUAUCGAAUAUCAUAGCCCUCUCCUAUGAUAAACGAGAAAGCCUAAUUUUUUUUAGUAAGGUUGAGAUCCUAAUUCAUCAUAAAAGUCUUGUGGUUGCACAACAAACCCUUAUGAGUUCAAAGAUAGGAAACUCUUUCCAAUUGCAUCUCAUGCAAUUAUUCUCAACUUUAUCUUGUCCUUUUAAAACACUUAGAGUCUUAUGGUUGCACAACAAAUUAUGAUGUUUUAGUUAAGUCAAACCCUUCAUUUCCAUAUAGUCAUAUUCGAAUAAUAUUGCUCUUGUGGUUGCACAACAAAGCAACAUAUUAAAAUAUGCCAUAAGCAUCUCUAUGCACCAACACAGUAUAACAUCAGUCCCCAUUGCAAGCCUUGUGGUUGCAAAACAAACUAGCAUGGAUCUUGACAUAAUAAUGUCGAGGUAUGAAGGAAGGAUAUCAGUAGUGUUUUAUCAACAUUAAGCUUAUCCAUAAUAGGCAAUCAAAUAAUUGGCCAGAUAAGUAGGUGGGAGUCUUCCCUUACUCAGAAAGUAAGGUCCUAAAUAAGUAACCACCUUUAGUGCUUUCCUAGACACCAAUUAGAUUAAUUGUUUUAGAAUGAGUUAGCUCAAAGUUUUUCAACACUAUGACUUAAUGUAAUUUUUAUUGAGGGUUUACUAGUCUCAAGCACAUUCUAUAAUUGUAACAUAUUUAAUAUGUCUAUGUAUAUGCUACAAUAAACUAUAUAUCUAUCUCAUAGCAUAUAUAAAUGAAAAGCAAUUAUCAUAGCUAUCUCAUAGCAUGUACAAAUUAUUACUAAUUGAUUGAAUCAAUUAACAUGCUUCAACAUAUCUUCAUAUGAAAAAUUCAUAUCAUAAUAUUUUAUUAUAUAUCAUAUCAUAUAAUUCAGCAUUCUUCUAAACAUAUGACAUUAUUAUCUCAUAGAAAAUUAACAAUCAUACAUCAUACAUAAUCAUUUGAUUGAACCAAUUAAGGAUGGCUCUGAUACCACUUGUAGGGUUCUAUCAUGUCAUAUAGGGGCAGCGGAAGCUAGGAAUUUUAAAAAUUUCUUAAUAAAGUUCCUUUACAUGAAACCCUAUUAAGCCAAGAUCAUCUUAAUGGUAGUAAUCAAAUAAUAUAAUAUAAAUGCAGAAAUAGAAGAAUACCUCUAAUGCUAAUCCAAUGUGCAGAAUUUUCACUAGGUGCCCAAAUGUUCACCCUCCAACGUUGAUCCGCACGAAAACUUGAUUCAAGACUUUAGCUCCAAAAACUUUGAUCCUUGAUGCAGAAUUCUUCUAAAGAACUCUAAUGGCUUGCUUUCCUUUCUUUCUAUUUUUCUUUCACCUUCUAAAAUCACUUCUACUUCUUUUGUCCUAAAGAAGACCACCUUGUCUUGGAUUAGGACACCCUAGAAGUAAUGCUAGAAAAAAGGAAACUAAUGCAAGAAAGAAGGGAUAUGAGCGAGUUGGUUUUCACCAGAUGGAAUGAAUAAAAAUCCCGAGAGCGCUCCUAUUUAUAGAUGGCGUGGGGAUGCAUCACCAAAGGAUGCAUCCCAUCCACACAUCCUUCAGAUGGGGCAUGAUGGCCAAGAGGAGCGCCUCAUAUGAGGAAACGUAUCAAAAUCAAGGAGCGUAUCUUAUGAAGCGACGUGAUAAGUGGAUAAGGAUGAAAAGGAGGCGCCUCACCCUUAUCUACUUAUCAUUUCAUGCGCUCUCUUUGUUCUCAUGCAUCCAUCCCCACGUCAUCAGCCCAUAUGAAGCUCCAUCACGUCAUCAUUCCUUCCUUUGAUGCGCCAUCACUUGAUCCAAUGGCUAUGAUUGAAGGCGCCAUCAAAGAGGGGAGUUAUGUCAUCAUCCAACGGUUCUAGGAUGAUCCAAUGGUCCCAAUGCAAGGCGCCAUGUACUUGACUCAUUAUGUCUUUAUCCAAUGGUGGGAUGAAGAUCCAAUGGCCAAUAGUGAUAGCCCUCCAUUAACCCAAUCUAAUUGGGUUCAAACCAACUCACCAUUAUGUCUUCAUCCAAAGGUAGAUGAAGAUCUAACGAUCAAAAGUAAAUGAUUUAUCAAAUAUAAUCCAAUUAGACUCAAACCAAGCCAAUUAGGUGCCAACUCUUAGCUAACCCAUAUUAGGAUAUGAUCUAAUCAAAUUAGAUCAAUUAAGAAUCAGACUCGAAUCCAAUUCGAAUCAGACUCGAAUCGAAUCCAAUUCGAAUCAAGAGCUAAAGUUUGCAACACCUGUUAGGAUGUUUAUCUUGCAAACAUGAUCUAAUCCAAUUAGACCCUUGAUCAGUUUUCUUGUGUGUGACCCAUUGAGUUCCAAACUUAGCCAGCAGUAGGUGUGGGUUCGAGUUGACCUAACCUGAUUAGAACUCUUCUAAUCGAUUUAAGUCCAAACUGCGCGAACCCGAACUUAACAAUUAGAAUCCUUUCUAAUUGGCGAUCGAAUUAAACACUUUAAUUCGAUCAAACCUACAAAACAAGAUUGACGCCUAGCAACGUGUCAUGACUAUCCGGAAAAUAUGAAAUUUGGUAGAAAUACCAAAAAUACCCUUCAGUGGCAAGUUACCGUGUAAUUCAAUCCUUCAAUCAAACUACAUCCCGAAUUGUAGAUGAGCAUAAAUCUAUAUCAAACUCAAUUACAUAUUCAUGUUUCUCUUAAUCUUCUAAUGAUAAUUCGAAUCAUGAAAUAUUAGAAACUCUUUCUAAUUUUCAUUCUGCUUUGAUCAAAGACUCCCUGAAUUAUCAUAUGAUUAGAAUAAAUGGGAUGCGAUCUUCUCUUACUAGAAGUGAUUGAUUUCUUGUUGACCCACUCAUAAUCUUCGUACAUAAUCCACCAUAUCCAGAAGACCUCGUACACAACUUAUUAUCAUGAAUGAGUGUUGUUGCUGGUGGUCCAAACCGAGAACGAUUGGCACAGCGGUGUGCACGGGGUUCCGUCUGAGUCGCCUUGGUUGGUGUUGAUUACGCUCCACUUUCCACCAGAAAACCUGCAAGCAAGCCUCGCACCACCAC